rnacentral:rRNA from 1 species
GAUCAUGGCUCAGAACGAACGCUGGCGGCGUGGAUAAGACAUGCAAGUCGAACGGGACACUGUGAGUAGCAAUACAAGCAGUGUCUAGUGGCGAACGGGUGCGUAACACGUGGAUACAUUCCGGGAAGCGGGGGAUAGCCCAGGGAAACUUGGAUUAAUACCGCAUGUGGUCGAAAGACUAAAGGCAGGGACCGCAAGGCCUGCCACUUCCCGAUUGGUCCGCGGCCUAUCAGCUAGUUGGCGGGUAAAAGCCCACCAAGGCUACGACGGGUAGCUGGUCUUAGAGGACGACCAGCCACACUGGAACUGAGACACGGUCCAGACACCUACGGGUGGCAGCAGUCGAGAAUCUUUCACAAUGGGGGCAACCCUGAUGGAGCGACGCCGCGUGGAGGAUAAGGUCUUCGGAUUGUAAACUCCUGUCAUGUGUGAACAAGGUUGCAGAGUUAAUAGCUAUGCAAAUUGAUGGUAACACAAGAGGAAGAGACGGCUAACUCUGUG